GGCGCGCGGGGAUUGGAACCUGUGGCCGGGGCUUCGCGCGUCCUCCCGCCGGGUGCCGGGCGCGGGAGAUCCCGGCUUGGAAACGGAGCACGCCCUGGAGGCCCGCGGAAGGGGAAGCGAGCGUGCGGGGCCCCGUUUGGGCCCGCGAACCGUCGCCCUGGGUCUUCACAUUCCCCACGGGAACGGGUCUGCAGAUGCGGACGGAAUUGAUUUUCCAGAGAAUGCAAUUUCAACGGAGACACCUCAAAGACACAAAGUCCCCUAGGUGUGUUCUGUGCAACUAGUGCGCUCUAUUGACCCGUGACAGAGUUGCCAGAAUGGCUGGAAGUGCCAUACAUGGACAAGAUGUCUGGGCCUUCGAACUUUUCCUGAUUGUUUCCUCAACAGAGAGAGACACAGCGAGCGAGCGAGAGAGAGAGAGAGAGAGCACAAGCAGGGGGAG